GCGGAUGUGGCGGAAUUGGCAGACGCGCUAGACUUAGGAUCUAGUAUCUAAUGAUGUGGGGGUUCGACUCCCUUCAUCCGCA
rnacentral:tRNA from 2 species